GACGAACGCUGGCGGCGUGCCUAAUACAUGCAAGUAGAACGCUGAAGAGAGGAGCUUGCUCUUCUUGGAUGAGUUGCGAACGGGUGAGUAACGCGUAGGUAACCUGCCUGGUAGCGGGGGAUAACUAUUGGAAACGAUAGCUAAUACCGCAUAAAAUUGCUUAUCGCAUGAUAAUUAAUUGAAAGAUGCAAUUGCAUCACUACCAGAUGGACCUGCGUUGUAUUAGCUAGUUGGUGAGGUAACGGCUCACCAAGGCGACGAUACAUAGCCGACCUGAGAGGGUGAUCGGCCACACUGGGACUGAGACACGGCCCAGACUCCUACGGGAGGCAGCAGUAGGGAAUCUUCGGCAAUGGGGGGAACCCUGACCGAGCAACGCCGCGUGAGUGAAGAAGGUUUUCGGGAUCGU
rnacentral:rRNA from 1 species